AUAGGGCCAUAUGGGGACAUAUAGGGCCAUAUGGAGACAUAUAGGGCCAUAUGGAGAUAUACAGGGUCAUAUGGGGACAUAUAGGGUCAUAUGGGGACAUAUAGAGUCAUAUGGAGACAUAUAGGGCCACAUGGGGCCAUAUAGGGCCAUAUGGAGACAAAUAGGGCCAUAUGGAGACAUAUGGAGACAUAUAGGGCCAUAUGGGGCCAUAUAGGGUCAUAUGGAGACAUAUAGGGCCAUAUGGGGCCGUAUAGGGUCAUAUGGAGACAUAUAGGGCCAUAUGGGGCCAUAUAGGGCCAUAUGAGGACAUAUGGAGACAUAUAGGGCCAUAUGGGGCCAUAUGGAGACAUAUAGGGCCAUAUGGGGCCAUAUGAAGACAUAUAGGGCCAUAUGGACACAUAUAGGGCCAUAUGGGGCCAUACAGAUCCAUAUGGGGCCAUAUGGGACCAUAUGGGGCCAUACAGAUCCAUAUGGGGCCAUAUGGGACCAUAUAGAGCCACAUGGGAAAUACAGGGACAUAUGGGGUCAUAUAGGGCCAUAUGGGGCCACAUGGGGCCAUAUAGGACCACAUAGGGCUAUAUAGGGUCAUAUAGGGCCAUAUGGGGCCACGGCCAUGGGGUGACCCCCCAUAGGAUCCCACCUGGUCGCAGAUCAGCUCCCACUUCUUCUCAUUGUCAUACUGCCGCAGCAGCUUCGCUUUGUCUGGAGGCAGGUUCAUGGAGCUCUGGGGACAUGGGGGGACGUGGGGGACCCCAAUGGGGACACCCAGCCCCAUAGCAAAGCCCUGGAUCCCAAUGGGGACACCCAGCCCCAUAGCAAAGCCCUGGAUCCCAAUGGGGACACCCAGCCCCAUAGCAAAGCCCUGGACCCCAAUGGGGACACCCCAGCCCCUACGCAAAGCCCUGGGAUCCCAAUGGGGACACCCAGCCCCAUUAGCAAAGCCCUGGAUCCCAAUGGGGACACCCAGCCCCAUAGCAAAGCCCUGGAUCCCAAUGGGGGACACCCCAGCCCAAGCAAUAGCCCGGACCCCAAUGGAGACAACUCAGCCCCAUAGCAAAGCCCACACCACAAUGGGGACACCCAUAGCCAAAGCCCUGGAUCCCAUGGAGACACCCAGCCCCAUAGCCAAAGCCCUGGAUCCUCAAUGGGGACACCCAGCCCCAUAGCAAAGCCCUGAACUCCAAUGGGGACACCCAGCCCAUAGCAAAGCCCUGGAUCCCAAUGGGGACACUCAGCCCCAUAGCAAAGCCCUGGGACCCCAAUGGGGACACCCAGCCCAUAGCAAAGCCUGGACCCCAAUGGGACACCCAGCCCCAUAGCAAAGCCCUGGAUCCCAAUGGGACACCCAGCCCAUAGCAAAGCCCUGGACCCCAAUGGGGACACCCAGCCCCAUAGCAAAGCCCUGGACCCCAAUGGGGACACACAACCCCAUAGCAAAGCCCUGAUCCCAAUUGGGGCACACCAGCCCCAUAGCAAAGCCCUGGAUCCCAAUGGGGACACCCAGCCCAUAGCAAAGCCCUGGAUUCCCAAGGGGGACGCCCAGCCCCAUAGCAAAGCCCUUGGACCCCAAUGGGGACACCCAUAGCAAAGUCCCACACCCCAAUGGGGACACCCAGCCCAUAGCAAAGCCCUGGAUCCCAAUGGGGACACCCAGCCCCAUAGUGGAACCCAUAACCCAAAGGAGAUGACCAAACCCCAAUACAGUGGGAUCCUCCU
rnacentral:lncRNA from 1 species